GUCCACGCCGUAAACUAUGGAUACUAGAUGUCGGGAGUUCUUACCCUCUCGGUGUCGUAGGUAACCCGUUAAGUAUCCCGCCUGGGAAGUACGGCCGCAAGGUUAAAACUCAAAGAAAUUGAUGGGGGCCCGCACAAGCGGUGGAGUAUGUGGUUCAAUUCGAUGCAACGCGAAAAACCUUACCUGGGUUUGACAUCCGGAGAAUUUGCUGGAAACAGCGAAGUGUCCGCAAGGAAAUUCCGAGACAGGUGCUGCAUGGCUGUCGU
rnacentral:rRNA from 1 species